rnacentral:tRNA from 1 species
GCCCCUAUAGCUCAGUGGUAGAGCGCGCCACUCGUAAUGGCGAGGUCAGGUGUGUACCGCUCUACUCAUCUCUGCUGCUGAACAAAUGCUGAUAUAGAUCGUACAGUCGUUCAAACCGGCUUAGGGGCU